GAUGAACGCUGGCGGCGUGCCUAACACAUGCAAGUCGAGCGGACGGACGCGGCUCUUGCUUGUCUGAUGUUAGCGGCGGACGGGUGAGUCACACGUGUAUAACCGACCUAUAAGACUGGGACCACCUCGGGACACCGGCGCUAAUACCGGAUGAUAUUUUGAACCGCAUGGUUCAAAAGUGAAAGACGGUCUUGCGGUCACUUAUAGCUGGAUCUCCGCUGCAUGAGCUAGUUGUUACGGUAACGGCGUACCAAGGCGACGAUGCAUAGCCGACCUGAGAGGAGGAUCGGCCACACGGGAACUGAGACACGGUCCAGAGUCCUGCGGGAGGCAGCAGUGGGGAAUCUUAGGCAGUGGGCGAAAGCCUGACGCAACAACGCCGCGUGAGUGAUGAAGGUCUUCGGAUCGUAAAGCACUGUUAUUGGGGAGGAACAGAUGUAGAAGUAGAUGUGGAGGUAUUGACGGUACCGAAAGAAGAAGCACCGGCUAACUACGUG
rnacentral:rRNA from 1 species